UUUAUUUACACCCUGACCACAUCACCCAGGAUCUCGGGCAGCUGAGGACAGCACAAGGCCACCAGCCCGGUGCCCUGGGCUGGGACACAAAGAUAUAACAGAUUUACAGCAAAGUGCGUACAUUGUCACGGCACAGCUUGGUGAAUUUUUACACCGGUACAAACCUGUGUGACCUCCACCCAUCGCAUUAAGGGACAUUCUCACGGUCCAGGGUCCCCGCCUGCAGGAGACUGUUAUCCUGACUUCACUAGCAUCCCAGAGCUUUCCUGGUCUUGUUUUUAGUACUGGGGAUGGAGACCAAGGCCUUCUCUCUGAGCACCACCCUCGGCCCUUUUUAUUCUUUGAGACACAGGCUUGCUAAAUCACUGAACUGCUCAGGCUGAGUUUGGACUUGAGAUCCUCCUGCCUCAGCCUUCUAGAGUCUGGGGGCACAGGCAUGCACCACCACUCCUGGCUGGGGUUGGGGAUAUUAAAACUGAGAUCUGUUAGUUCCUGGAGAACCUCUGCUUCGCCAUGACCUCGCUGGCCGUGGGGGCACAGAGCUGGCCGUCUUCGGGGUGCAUGAUGGGCGGGGCCUUGCCCGGGCCCUCCCAGGACCAGUGUGAGAGCCCCGCCUAGCAGGCAUGCCUGUGCUGUGUGUGCGUUUCUCUGUGUUUUUUGGUUUUUCCCCACUGAGGCAUUUUUUGUGUCCAUUUCUCAUCUCUGGAAUAAGAGCCCCAGGAUCUCCUCCCUCCUGUGUGUUUCCCUCAUGUUCCUUUGUGGCUCGGGAUGGCCCGGGGACAGCAGGGGACAGAUAGCUCUUGGGUCGUUCAGCUGAGAUCAAAGCCCGGCUGCUCCCUUGGCUGGUCAGACCUGCCAGUGAGGUUCACGGCCUCCCACCCUGUGAUGUCAGCGACCUGGACUCCGCCCUGGGACCUGCGGAGUCACCACAGGUGGAAGCCGGACACUGGCUGUGGAGCCUGGCGUGGGCAGGGCUGAUGCAGAGGUCCCAGGAGGCCUGGAUCCCCUGCACAGCCCAAGGCCGAGUCUCAGACUGGGUGGCACUGACAGCUGGCAGUGGAAGAUGGAAACUUCAGAGUCACUCGCCAGCCUGGGAUCUCUACUUUGGCUUAGAUAUUUUUCCCCACUGCUUGAUUGGAGAUGGAGUCUCACUGUGUAGCCCAUGCUGGCCUUGAAGGUGUGGGGUCUUCCUGCUUCAGCCUCCCAAGUGCUGGGAUGAGAGGCCGCACAGAGAGCGAGAAGUGACCUCGGCCCCCCAGCACCCGUGGGCGCCAGAGCGUCGGGCUCUUCCUUCUCCCCCCAGUCGGAUCCCAGGUCCUAGACCCCUUGCCGAUGCCCAGUGGGGGAAGGGAGGUGGGUUUGGGGAUUUUUGCUGUGCCUGGCCUUGAACCCACAGUGUAGGUACUCCAAGCCCUUCUGCCUCAGCCUUCUGAGUCCCGGUCUCCAAAGUGGGUGCCGUCGCCAGCAGCCCUCAGUGCGGAUCCCGGGGUCCGCCAAGGUUGCCCCUCAGUCCUGUGAGCUUGGGCCCCGUCCGAAGCCUCAGCUUGCCCAUCUGUAGAAUGAGUUCCAUCAGCCUGCUGCUCCCGACCUCCCCAGGGUGCUGGGGAGCCAGGGCCAGGCCAGGAGGGGCAGCACAGGUGGGUCCCCAGCUCGGGCUCUGCACAUGACCCUCGCCUUGUGCUGCAUCGGGGUGCUCCUGGCUUUGCUCACUGUUAGAAAGAGUGGAGACCCCGGAGGGGUCACAGCCUGGCUCUUUGGAGGGUGAGUGCUGUUCCCAGGAGCCCUGGUGGCCACCUCGGAGGUUCUCUGGGGGGCAGGGGAUGCUCGGGGGUGGGGGCACAGAGGGUCCAGGACCCCGCCCCACCCUUCCGUGGCAGUGGUAAAGACAUCUUCCCCCAUCCAUGGUGUGGACCAGGAAUUGGCGCAAGAGCCACGGAGUCCGAGAUCCUGGCAGUUACCUGGGCACAACCGAUUUUGCAGGACAAGACAGGGUGGGGGGUGGGGCUACGGAGUUGCCUGUGAUGACUGCCAGCAGGCAGCCACCAAAGAGGCCGAGGCGCAUGGUGAGUGGCCGUGGUGCUUGCUGCCACCCCUCCAGAGGGCCCUGAGUCCCAGUACCUGGGCAGCACAGUGUGCUCAGGAGGUUGGAGGCUCCCAGUCCUCCAGGAGAGGUGUGGGGCAUCCACAGCUGGUCAUGAGGGUGCCCUGAGCAGGUACUGGGCAGUGGGGAGGCUCGGGCUCUGGGUCCAGGUGAGUGUAAGUCAGGUGGGGGUGCUGUGAGGCCACAGGUGACUUCUCUAUUUCCGCUUUUUGUCUUAUUUGGGUUUUCUGAAACUUUCCUUGUAGCAUAUAGCUUUUUUCCCUCCUUUGGCAGUACUGGGGAUUGAACCCAGGGCUUUUGUGUUAGCUACACCCCACCCUUAUUUAUUUAUUUAUUUGGAAAAGGUCUCUCUAUGUAGCCCAGGCUGGCCUUACACUCAUGGCGAUCCUCCUGCCUCAGCCUCCCGAGUGCUGAGAUAAUUCUAUGAUUAGUGAAUAAACACACACACACACACACACACACACACACACACACACACACACACUGGAGAGCCCCUGCAGCCAUUAAGAAAGGCCCGGGGCAGCUGCGGGCACUCCUCUGCGAGGCCAGGCCUUAUUUGGGCAGAGCUGUGGCAGAUUCCAGCAGGCGCCCUCCCGGCCCCGCCCCCAGCGCUGGUGCCCGGCCAGCUGCGGCCGGGCUGCUCCCUCCCACCGCCCGUCUUUGGUAGCCGCAGCCGCUGGCCGGGGCCAGUCCACACAUCUGGACCUCGUUAGAGGCGGCCGGCACCAAAGCCGACACAUCUGGCCGCGGCAAGACAAAAGUGCGCUUCGGGGCGCAGGGGGAAAGGGGCGCGUCAGGACAGCGCGGGCCACAUCUGGGAGCUGGCGGGCUGGUCCCGGGUCCCAGGGAUGGCCCUGCUGCACCCCUCUGGCUGGGAGCCUCUGUCACUGGAGGCCUCUAUGGCAGGCGUGGGGAACAAAGGCAAACUCAGGUCCCACGCACAGUGCCCUCAGCCUGGGGGGCCUUCAGCCCCGUCUGGGCAGCAGCUCCCAGGAGGGCAGGCUCCGACCACAGAAGGAGAAUCCUGUUUGCUUUUGAGGCAGGAUCUCUUUAAGUCACUAAAUUCCCCAGGAUGGGGAAGAACUGGACACCCUCCUGCCUCAGCCUCCCAGAGUGCUUGGGUCAGGUGCUCACUGCGGUGCCCAUGGUUGAGCGGGGAGGGAGGACGUAAAGGAGACCUGUUGGGCACAGAGGACGCAGCUGCUGUCCUCGCCCUGGGUCCCCUCUCACUCCCGUGCUGCCAUUACUUGUCCCUCUAGAAGGCUGAGGUCCUGGGGCUGAGUGGCUGUGGCAGCCAGUGGUGUUUGUCCAGAGGAUCUGGGCAAAGCUGGGAGCCCAUCCCGGUGAAGCCAGGGCGCAGGUUCUGCCCACAAAGCUCACGGACCCUGCUUUCCUGCUGUGUUGAAUCCAACCCCUUGAGCCAGACUCCUGGAGUGUAAGAUAAGGAUGAUCCACAAGUACUUUAAGUUCUGUAGGAAAAAUACACAAGCUCUGUGCCAGAUGUUGGCACCUCCCAGUAAUCUCGGGAAUCAGGAGGCUGAGGCAAGAGGAUCCCAAAUUCGAGGCCAGCCUGGGCUGCGUAACAAGACCCUAUCUCAAGAAACAUUAGUAAAAACAAAAACACAAGAUUGUACAGUUCUCUGGUACAAAUGUAGUGUAACUACAUACAUAAUUUGGAGAGAGGGUUUUCCAUUUUCAUUGGGAUUAAUUUUUUUUUAGACAGGAUCUUGCUGGGCCAUUCAGGCUGAGUUUGAACUUACCAUCUCAGGCUGGCCUUGAACUUGCAGCGAUCCUCCUGCCUCAGCCUCCCAAGUGCUGGUAUUACAGGUGUGUGCCACAAACCUCGAGGAAAAAUAUUGAUUUAUAGAGAAGUUGCAAUGAUAUUUCAGAGUUCCAGUAAACUCCUCACCCAAGUGCCCUAAGGUCAGUGACUAGCGUAACCACGGUACAGCUGCCAAAACUAAGAAAUUAACGCUGGCACAGUGCGACUGACAAGACGGCAGACAGGCUGAGGGUUCCACCGGUUUUUCCAACACAUAUACGCUUGAAAUUUUUCUUUUUCUUAAGACAGGGUCUUGCUGUGUAGUACAGGCUGGCCUCAGACUCAUCAGGCUGCCCUUGAACUCCAGGCGAUCCUCCUGCCUCAGCCUCCUGAGUGCUGGGAUCUGAGGUGUGCGUCCCUGUGCCCAGCCGAGAGCUGAUUUUCUAGUUACAGAGGGCGGGAGGGGCAGCUGCCGCGCGGUUGGUAGCCUUUGUGCCCACAGGUCGGACCCCUCCUCCAGCCUUGGAAACCUAAUUAAUCAGGGAGCCUCAGACCACCUGCGCUGGCUGAUGCAGCUCCAGACUGAGGAGGCGGAGGGAUCGAGGUGUCUUGGGGACAUUUGUGACUCACACUUCAGUGGGGAGUCACCAGCGCACUGUGAAGAGGAUACCAGUCCCCCGGGGACACUGGUUCUCGCCCUGUCCCCUCCCCCUCCCUGCCCUGCAGACCGCAUGGACCCUGGAUCAGCAUCCAGCAAGGUCCUUCCGGGGCUGGUAUCUCCUGGCCAUGCUCGGCUGUCGCAGGGACACAGAACAGCUCUGGCUGGAGAGGGGAGGAGACGAGCCGGCUCUGGGCAGGGCGCUCUGUGGCCCUCAGCUCCCAGGGAUCCAAACCAGGCCUGACAGCAAAGCCCUUAUUUUUGUGGUAGUGGUUGUUUGUUUGUUUGUUCUGUGUUUUGAGAUGAGGUUGCUAUACAGUAGCCCAGGCUGGUUCUGAACUCGAGGUGAUCCUCCUGCCUCAGCCUGCCAAAUGCUGGGAUGAUAGGUGUGUGCCACCAGGCCCAGCCAUCUUCUAUGAAAUGCAACAAACACAUUUCAGGGGCUGCUGUCAGAAUUGGUAAGCUGCCGAGCAUGGUGGCUCAUACCUGUAAUCCCAGCACUCAGGAGGCUGAGGCAGGAGGAUUGCUGUGAGUUUGAGACCAGCCUGGGCUACAAAGUGAGCUCAAGGCCAGCCUGAACUGCAUAGAGAGACCCUGUCUCAAAAAGACCAAAAAAAAAAAAAAAAAAAAAAAAAGAAUUAGCAAGCUAUCCAG